rnacentral:lncRNA from 1 species
GGCUGGGGCGGGGUCGUCGCGCCUCCGCCCGCCCAGAAACAAGAUCCCGCUAAUCCGCUGCGCCGACUGGUCGGACCACCGCGCUGCGUUCGGAGCCCCGCCGGGCAGCGGGGACCAUGCGAGGGAUGAGGCUGGCACUUCUGGCGUUGGCUCUGGCCACCUGCGGGGAGCUCGGUGAGGGGCGCGGGGCUGGUGCGGGACAAGUUCUAAGCAGGACUGGUGGGUGGGUCUGUGCUCUGCAGGACGCCCUCACCUGUGGACACUGCGUACUGGUACUGUCCUGUCCGCAGUGAAGGCACCUCAGGACAGAGCCGCUGGGAGGAGGAGGACAGAGGGGAGUGGGAAGCUGUGUCCCACCAGUUCUGUCCAAGAUGGGAAGGGAAACAACCGAGGGCUGGGUGUGUCCCGUGUGGAAGGACUGGUCCCUGGGCCCAAGUUGGACCGAGAAGGCCAGCCUCCCAGGUAGGGCAGAGCCUGGCCAGAGGGGCUUUGUACAGGGGAGGAGAAGGGAGGCCCUGAGGCUGGGGGGAACCUGGGAGUGCCCGUGGGGAAGGAGAGGAGGGAAGGGGACCCAGAGGGGUCCCACAGUGGGGUGAUUCCUGGACCUGGGGUCUGAAAGAACAAUUGGGACCCACAUCCUGGACCUGAGGGGCCCCAACUCAACAGGAAAGGAGUUGGGUGGUGUGGGCUAAGCCAACAUGCUCUGCCCAUUGUCCAGAGUGAGAAACUGAGGUCAGCCUGAGUACCACAGAGGGGACACAGGGACCUGUGGCCUCCCUGCACACCUGGGCUGGGGCUUGGGCCAGUUGGAGCCAGCCAGGUCCCUGGGCCCCUGGACUUGGACAGGGACACCGUGCAGGGAAGUGCAGUAGCUGGCAAACAGCUUACCCACCCGCACCACCCUUGGGGAGAGGACACUGUCCAGCUAGGACUUGCAGUCUCCUGAGCAUAGCCAGUCACCCUGCACUCUGUGGACCUCCUUGCCUGACCCCUAACCCGUGUGCUGCUGAGGAAGUGGAGGGGAUCCUUGCCUGUUCUCACCGAAGCCCUUCAUCCCUUAGUGCCUCUUGCUGUGGCAGUGUCCAGGGCUUGGUCCCCUGUGCCUCCCAGCUGCUCGGAGUGGCUUUUCCCCACAGGUGGAGCCCACCUCCCCCAGGGCACCCUUGGCCUCUGGAACCCAGGGGUCCAAGUCAGAGCCUGGCCUGACUGUGUCAUCUUCCCUAAGCUUUGGCUGGUGGGCAGCUGGCCCCUGGCUAGUGUCAUUGUCCUCUGGGGACUGGCUGGGUAUGGCAUCACCUGUCUGGAGUUUGGGAGGGGCAGAGCCUGCUGACCUGCCCUCUCAUCACCUCUCUCCAGCAAUGGCCUUAAAAUGCUACACCUGUUUCGAACCCACGGGUGUGUCCAGCUGCAUCACCAUCACCAACUGCGAUGCCAACGAAACUAUGUGCAAGACCACGCUCUACUCCCGAGAGAUUGGUCAGUAGGCAUUGGGUGGGGCAGGACUGGGACCCAGGGUCACAGCUGCCUCCAGCCCAGUCUCCCCUGGCCAGCUGGGCCCCCUGUCAGCAUGAAGCCACCAGCUAUAGGACCACUUGGGCCUUCUCCCUCCUUCCCCUCUUCCUCCUCCUAGUGAGUGAGGCCAGGAACCAACCGCACAACGCCCUGUGUGCCCCUGGCCCCUCACUCAGCAGGGACCACGGGGAUGGGGGACUCUGGGGCUGGGGCUGGGAAGCAGUAAAGAACUGACCCUUAGGGCCAAUGCCUCCUGUACUCCACAGUGUACCCCUUCCUGGGAGACUCCACAGUGACCAAAUCCUGCGCCAGCAGGUGUGAGCCCUCGGAUGUCGACGGCAUUGGCCAGACCCGGCCAGUGUCCUGCUGCAACACUGAGCUGUGCAACGUGGACGGGGCGCUCUCCCUGGGCAGCCCCCACAGCCUGGCCCUCGCCCUCACGCUCACCCCGCUCCUGGGGCUCCUGCUGUAGAGCCCUGCCCACCCUACUGCCCCACCAGUGCCCGGCCCCACCCUCUGCCUUGAAGAAAUACAGCUGCCUCCGGAACCCGGC